AAGCUUCAACUAAAUUUCUCUCUUUUUAUAUUUUUCUUUUUUUCUCAAUUAAGCCCCUAAUUUUAUAGAGUAAUUGCAAUUUGCACCCUAGAAAAAUGCAAUCGCUUACUCCAUCAUCGUCGGGGAUAAAUCUCAAAUCCUUAAUCCAGACGAAGAUACGGUCGAACCGGGUUAACUCGAUUCGACCAGUUAUCACAUGCGUUUACCGGUUUGACGCGGCCAACGCCGCCGUCAACACCGGUACCGCGAAUACCAACUCUGCCGGACACGCCGGCGGUUCUAGAGCCGACUGGCAGAGUUCCUGUGCGAUUUUAGCAAGUAAAGUUGUGUCGCAGCAGCAGAACGCUGAGAAGAGUGGCGGUGCUGGUAACAUCACCGCCGUGAACGGCCAUAAGGCGGCGAUAGAUCUCGAUCUAGUUCCAAUCGAUAACCAACCUAAGCCGCUCACCAUUACUGACCUCUCCCCAGCGCCGAUGCACGGUGCUCAGCUUCGCGUCGCUUACCAAGGCGUACCUGGAGCGUACAGCGAAGCUGCCGCCGGUAAAGCUUAUCCGAAAUGUGAAGCCAUACCUUGUGAUCAAUUCGAGGUUGCAUUCCAAGCCGUUGAACUCUGGAUCGCUGACCGUGCAGUUCUCCCCGUUGAAAACUCUCUCGGAGGAUCUAUUCACAGAAACUACGACCUCCUCCUUCGUCACCGUCUCCACAUCGUCGGAGAAGUUCAACUACCGGUCCACCACUGCCUCUUAGCACUUCCAGGCGUUCGAAAAGAGUAUCUCAACAGAGUCAUAAGCCAUCCACAAGCCUUAGCACAAUGCGAGCUCACAUUAACAAAACUCGGUUUAAACGUAACUCGUGAAGCUGUUGACGAUACCGCCGGCGCUGCUGAAUACAUAGCUUCCCACAACCUCCGUGACACAGCUGCAAUCGCCUCAGCACGCGCUGCCGAUCUAUACGGUCUCCAGAUCUUAGCUGAAGGAAUCCAGGACGAUUCAAGCAACGUAACUCGUUUCGUUAUGCUAGCUCGUGAACCAAUAAUUCCUCGAACCGAUCGUCCAUUCAAAACAAGCAUCGUCUUCGCACAUGAUAAAGGAACAAGCGUUCUGUUCAAAGUUUUAUCAGCUUUCGCAUUCAGAAACAUCAGUUUAACGAAAAUCGAGUCACGGCCUCACCGGAAUCGUCCGAUCCGGCUAGUCGACGACGCUAACGUCGGAACGGCGAAGCAUUUCGAGUACAUGUUCUAUGUAGAUUUCGAAGCUUCCAUGGCGGAUGUUAGAGCUCAAAAUGCAUUGGCUGAAGUUCAGGAGUUCACGUCGUUUUUGAGGGUUUUGGGAAGUUAUCCAAUGGAUAUGACUCCAUGGUGUCCUUCUCGUGAAGAUUA
rnacentral:misc_RNA from 1 species